AACACAUGCAAGUCGAGCGGAUGAGAAGAGCUUGCUCUUCGAUUCAGCGGCGGACGGGUGAGUAAUGCCUAGGAAUCUGCCUGGUAGUGGGGGACAACGUUUCGAAAGGAACGCUAAUACCGCAUACGUCCUACGGGAGAAAGCAGGGGACCUUCGGGCCUUGCGCUAUCAGAUGAGCCUAGGUCGGAUUAGCUAGUUGGUGGGGUAAUGGCUCACCAAGGCGACGAUCCGUAACUGGUCUGAGAGGAUGAUCAGUCACACUGGAACUGAGACACGGUCCAGACUCCUACGGGAGGCAGCAGUGGGGAAUAUUGGACAAUGGGCGAAAGCCUGAUCCAGCCAUGCCGCGUGUGUGAAGAAGGUCUUCGGAUUGUAAAGCACUUUAAGUUGGGAGGAAGGGCAGUAAGAUAAUACCUUGCUGUUUUGACGUUACCGACAGAAUAAGCACCGGCUAACUCUGUGCCAGCAGCCGCGGUAAUACAGAGGGUGCAAGCGUUAAUCGGAAUUACUGGGCGU
rnacentral:rRNA from 1 species